rnacentral:rRNA from 1 species
AGUGGCGGACGGGUGGGUAACGCGUAGGAAUCUACCUGAUAGUGGGGGAUAGCCCGAAGAAAUUCGGAUUAAUACCGCAUAAUCUAUUCGUAGUAAAGUGGGGGACUUUCGAGCCUCACGCUAUCAGAUGAGCCUGCGUAAGAUUAGCUAGUUGGUAGGGUAAAAGCCUACCAAGGCGACGAUCUUUAGCUGGUCUGAGAGGAUGAUCAGCCACAUCGGGACUGAGACACGGCCCGAACUCCUACGGGAGGCAGCAGUGGGGAAUAUUGGACAAUGGGGGCAACCCUGAUCCAGCAAUACCGCGUGUGUGAAGAAGGCCUGAGGGUUGUAAAGCACUUUCAAUUGUGAAGAAAAGCUAGUGGUUAAUAGCCAUUAGCCUUGACGUUAACUUUAGAAGAAACACCGGCUAACUCCGUGCCAGCAGCCGCGGUAAUACGGAGGGUGCAAGCGUUAAUCGGAAUUAUUGGGCGUAAAGCGUGCGUAGGCGGUUUAUUAAGUCAGAUGUGAAAGCCCCGGGCUUAACCUGGGAACUGCAUUUGAAACUGGUCAACUAGAGUAUGGUAGAGGAAAGUGGAAUUUCUGGUGUAGCGGUGAAAUGCGUAGAUAUCAGAAGGAACAUCAAUGGCGAAGGCAACUUUCUGGACCAAUACUGACGCUGAGGUACGAAAGCGUGGGUAGCAAACAGGAUUAGAUACCCUGGUAGUCCACGCCGA